GUUUCACUGUAUAUGCACAGGUAUUGCGGCGGAAUUCUGAAAAUAAACAGAGAUGCCAGGGCCGGGACCGCAUAUGAUGUAUACAUUGGGUUCAGGAUUAGGAUUGAUGAGUGUAUCUAAUGGCCGGUUUAGUCCUCAUCACUGCGUUACCUAUUCCAUCAACGCUUUCUUUGGACCGGACAUUGGAUCUUUCUCUGAGUGGCUUACAUCAACCCUUGGGUUAGGAAGUGCUUUGGGUUAUGCAAUUGAGCCCUGGAUCCAUGACCCCUUUUAUCAUAUACUUAUUCUUGGUAUCCCCAUGUCCAUGCUUUACAGCGCUCUCUCCAAAUUUCUCCUAAAGAAGGGAUUGCUCGAUUCCAUUUCAGGGGUUCCGCUUACAAGGAAACAGUGUCUUUUCCUGGUGGCUGCUGGCUCUUUGUCACAUUUUUUCUUGGACCAUUUGUUUGAGGAAAAUGGGAAGUCUACUAUGUACACUUGGAUAUUGAGCACAGGUUGGUGGGAAGGGCGCGCACCAAUCAAUCUCGAUGCUGUUGUUGUGGUUUGCAUUCUAUGUAGCUGCUUGAUUGCUGACUUUAUAUACAUAAACAGAGUGAAGCCGCUCAAACUGCUCAAACUACGAGUUAUCAACUCUGUCAAACUGAUCUUGGUAAUUGCUUCCUUAUACUGUUUAUGGUGUG
rnacentral:misc_RNA from 1 species